rnacentral:ncRNA from 1 species
UUCUUCGGGCGCGUUCGCCUUGGUGACUCUGGAUAACUUUGCGGAUCGCACGGUCUAGCACCGGCGACGGAUCAUUCAAGUGUCUGCCCUAUCAACUUUCGUCGGUACGGUAUUUGCCUACCGAGGUUCUUACGGGUGACGGGGAAUCAGGGUUCGAUUCCGGAGAGGGAGCCUGAGAAACGGCUACCACAUCCAAGGAAGGCAGCAGGCGCGCAAAUUACCCAUUCCCGACGCGGGGAGGUAGUGACGAAAAAUAACAAUGCAGGACUCGUUCGAGGCCCUGCAAUUGGAAUGAGUACACUUUAAAAGCUUUAACGAGUAUCCAUUGGAGGGCAAGUCUGGUGCCAGCAGCCGCGGUAAUUCCAGCUCCAAAAGUAUAUAUUUAAGUUGUUGCGGUUAAAAAGCUCGUAGUUGGAUUUUGGGCGCAGGCGGCCGGUCCGUCGCAAGGCGUGUACUGGACGUCCUGGCCUUCCCUCCGGUUCUCCGCCGGUGCUCUUGACUGAGUGUCGGCGGCGGCCGGAACGUUUACUUUGAAAAAAUUAGAGUGUUCAAAGCAGGCUCUCGAGCCUGGAUAAUGGUGCAUGGAAUAAUGGAAUAGGACCUCGGUUCUAUUUUGUUGGUUUUCGGAGCGCGAGGUAAUGAUUAAGAGGGACAGACGGGGGCAUUCGUACUGUGCCGUUAGAGGUGAAAUUCUUGGAUCGGCGCAAGAACGA